UACGUAGGGUGCGAGCGUUAAUCGGAAUUACUGGGCGUAAAGUGUGCGCAGGCGGUCGAUCAAGUCGAGUGUGAAAGCCCCCGGCUCAACUGGGGAGGGUCAUUCGAUACUGAUCGACUCGAAGGCAGGAGAGGGUAGUGGAAUUCCCGGUGUAGUGGUGAAAUGCGUAGAUAUCGGGAGGAACACCAGUGGCGAAGGCGACUACCUGGCCUGUUCUUGACGCUGAGGCGCGAAAGCUAGGGGAGCAAACGGG
rnacentral:rRNA from 1 species